GUGCUCGUUUCAGCAGCACAUGUACUAAAACUGGAACAAUAUAGAGAUUAGCAUGGCCCCUGCACAAGUAUGACACAUAAAUUCAUGCAGUGUUCCAUAUUUUU